CACAGACUGGAGGCAUACUUGCCUUUGUGUUAAUGCAGAAGAAAGCAAAUAUGGCUAUUGAGUUCGUUUCCUCCUAGCCAGAGAUGGUACUUAUUCAUCAUAAUCAAGUGCCAAAUCUCAGAACAUGCUGACUUCCUUGCAACAUUUUCGGAAAUUGCUUUGGAGUUAAGGGAGCGUGAAGACCUGCCAUUUGCAAAACUUUCUUUAGAGAACGGGAGGAGAAGCCUACAGUGUGUUGCAGAGCACGGCCCAGUUCGCGAAUCUUACUUCCUGGUUUGGGCCUGAACAUAUUUUGAGUGAAUAAGCUGUUUAUGAACAUCGACAAGAUUUCCAAAGUGUGUGUUAUUGACUGGUUAGCAUUAGAAUGAGAAACGCUCUGUCUGAGAGAGCUUAUAUAUGACAAGGGCUGACAUCCAUACUAAAUUACUCCUGAGUAGUCCUAUUAAAAUUAGGUAGUCUUUUA